GCCAGACUCCUACGGGAGGCAGCAGUGGGGGAUAUUGCACAAUGGGGGGAACCCUGAUGCAGCGACGCCGCGUGGGUGAAGAAGUAUUUCGGUAUGUAAGGCCCUAUCGGCAGGGAAGAAAUUGGACGGUACCUGACUAAGAAGCCCUGGCUAACUACGUGCCAGCAGCCGCGGUAAUACGUAGGGGGCAAGCGUUAUCCGGAUUCACUGGGUGUAAAGGGAGCGUAGACGGCCAUGCAAGCCUGGAGUGAAAGCCCGGGGCCCAACCCCGGGACUGCUCUGGGAACUGUGCGGCUGGAGUGCGGGAGGGGCAGGCGGAAUUCCUGGUGUAGCGGUGAAAUGCGUAGAUAUCAGGAGGAACACCGGCGGCGAAGGCGGCCUGCUGGACCGCGACUGACGUUGAGGCUCGAAAGCGUGGGGAGCAAACAGGAUUAGAUACCCGAGUAC
rnacentral:rRNA from 1 species